rnacentral:misc_RNA from 1 species
UCGCUACGGAGGAGAGGCAGCAG